rnacentral:rRNA from 1 species
AGUGAACGCUGGCGGCGUGCUUAACACAUGCAAGUCGAACGGCAGCACGGACUUCGGUCUGGUGGCGAGUGGCGAACGGGUGAGUAAUACAUCGGAACGUGCCCAGUCGUGGGGGAUAACGUAGCGAAAGCUACGCUAAUACCGCAUACGAUCUAAGGAUGAAAGCGGGGGAUCGCAAGACCCCGCGCGAUUGGAGCGGCCGAUGGCAGAUUAGGUAGUUGGUGGGGUAAAGGCUCACCAAGCCGACGAUCUGUAGCUGGUCUGAGAGGACGACCAGCCACACUGGGACUGAGACACGGCCCAGACUCCUACGGGAGGCAGCAGUGGGGAAUUUUGGACAAUGGGCGAAAGCCUGAUCCAGCCAUUCCGCGUGCAGGAUGAAGGCCCUCGGGUUGUAAACUGCUUUUGUACGGAACGAAAAGGCUCUGGUUAAUACCUGGGGCUCAUGACGGUACCGUAAGAAUAAGCACCGGCUAACUACGUGCCAGCCGCCGCCGUAA